rnacentral:rRNA from 1 species
UACGAAGGGGGCUAGCGUUGCUCGGAAUUACUGGGCGUAAAGGGCGCGUAGGCGGACAGUUUAGUCAGAUGUGAAAGCCCCGGGCUCAACCUGGGAAUUGCAUUUGAAACUACGAGGCUAGAGUGUGUCAGAGGGGGGUAGAAUUCCACGUGUAGCAGUGAAAUGCGUAGAGAUGUGGAGGAAUACCGAUGGCGAAGGCGGCUCUCUGGACCAGCACUGACACUGAGGCACGAAAGCGUGGGGAGCAAACAGG